AUGUCCAGUAGACUCGCCGGGAUCUGUCAUAUUCUUAAUGCGUUGGACUUUCUGUGCGUAUCAGUGUCCAUUCCUCGUGCCAUCUCUUAGAAUUUCAACACUUUGCCCGGAAUUUAACUUUAUUUUUUUUUAUUUAAACCACAAUGAAGACGAAGAACUAAACAAGAAAACCUCGAAACCAGAGCCGCUCUUCUCAGUGAGUUGAUUAUACCCACGGCAAAAAGAUGAAAAUGAAACUAAAUGUGAUGGCGGUUAUUGUAACAGCUCUUUUUGUGAGUGUGGACGCUUUCAUUUUGCAAGAUCAGGACAACCAGCCAGAUCUUUCUGAAGCAGAUUCGAUUCCUGUAGAAAAACGAGGUAGACUCUCAUUAACUGCUGAUUUACGGAGCCUGGCGCGCAUGCUUGAAGCCCACCGAAAACGUUUCAUAGCAAGUAGAUUCCCAUACGAUUCCAUCCGUAAAAAGUUGUUCCGAUACGGCAAAAGAAGCCCUAUAACAGAAACACUGGAAUACAACGAAGGAGAAGACAGAUCAAACGCCCUUGAUUCUGAAUUUCCGAGUUUAAAAGUCGAAGAAGAAACACCCAUCUAUAACAUAAAACGCCAACGUCUGUCUGUGAACGGGGCCCUAUCAUCUCUUGCCGACAUGUUGGCGGCCAAUGGGAGACAGAGGAUGAUGUCAGAAAUGGCCAUGAAUCGGCAAAGACUUUUUGGACUAGGGAAAUAGUUAAUUAAAAAUUUGUGUAGAUAUUUCAUACAGUUACUCUUAUUCCAACUAACUUGGACAAGCAGUGUACAGUGUGCAAAAUUUCGCCAUUUUUAUAAAUAUAUUGUUUCGAUUUUCAUUUCAUUUUCAUAUAAGCAGGUAAAUGUUCAUUAUUUAGUCUGAAACUUUGGAAUCUAUCAUGGUUUUAGAAUAGAAUCACGAUAGUGAUUAUUUUCAUUAAAUUAAAUUAAACCCCAA